GGGGCAGGACCUUGCCGGCUUCCCUCGGGAAAGGGGCGGUGCGGGGGAGCCCCGGCGGCCCCGGGCUCGGGGCGCAGCAUCUCUGCCGGGUGGCCUAGGGGACGCGGGUGUCGGCUCUCCCUGGCAUCCAGAGCUCGCUGCAAACUCGUCCCCCCCGAGUCCCCAGGAGUUUUCAGCUCGGUGUUGGCGCUGAGAGCGGCAGAGAGGAGGGAUCUGGCGGCACAGCCACUCCGCUGCCGGGAGCGGAGCGUGGGCACGGGCAGACCGGGGCCGCGCUGCCGCCGUCCUGUCCUUCCGCCUUGCCCCAGCCGCUAUCAGCUGCCGUGAGAAGUUUGCUUGGGAGAUAAAGCAGCAGAAAAUUAACCUCGUGAAAAUAAACAGCUGGAGGAAGUGAGAAUGCGAGUCUGGGGAGAGUGGGGCUGCAGCAGAGCUGGCUUCACUCACAGAAUCAAAGAACGGCUUGGGUUGGAAGGCACCUGGAAGAUGUCCUACUCCCAACCCUCCUGCCAUGGGCAGGGACACCUUCCACUAGACCCUGUUGCUCAAGGCCCUGUCCAACCUGACCCUGAACACUUCCAAGGAGGGGGCAUCCACAGCUUCCUUGGGUAGCCUGUUCCAGUGUCUCAUCACCCUCACUCUAAAAGAAUUUCUUCCUAAUCUCCAGCCAAAACCUACCCUCCUCUACCUUAAAGCCAUUCCUCCUCCUCCUAUCGCUACAAGCCCUUGUUGGCUCAGCCCCCUGUGAGGUUGCACACUUCCC